rnacentral:rRNA from 1 species
UACAGAGGUCCCAAGCGUUGUUCGGAUUCACUGGGCGUAAAGGGUGCGUAGGUGGUCGGGUAAGUCUGAUGUGAAAUCUCUGGGCUCAACCCAGAAACUGCAUUGGAUACUAUCUGGCUAGAGGAAUGGAGGGGGGACUGGAAUACUUGGUGUAGCAGUGAAAUGCGUAGAUAUCAAGUGGAACACCAGUGGCGAAGGCGAGUCCCUGGACACUUCCUGACACUGAGGCACGAAAGCUAGGGGAGCAAACAGG